UUUCCGUAGGUGAACCUGCGGAAGGAUCAUUAAAGUUAUAGUCCCCCGGCCCUCUGGGCUGGGGUCUUCUAUACCACCCUUUGUUUAUUACACCUUUGUUGCUUUGGCAGGCCUGCCCUCGGGCUGCUGGCUCCGGCCGGCUCGCGUCUGCCAGAGGACCUAAACUCUGCUUGUAUAUGAAGUCUGAGUACUAUAUAAUAGUUAAAACUUUCAACAACGGAUCUCUUGGUUCUG
rnacentral:misc_RNA from 1 species